rnacentral:lncRNA from 1 species
ACAUAUGCUUUUGUAUUGAUUUAUGCCUAUCAUGCCAUGUUUUAUUUAAUUUUAUAAAUGUUAUUACGUGGUUGAGAUUUAUAUACUAUCAUGGCAUGUUCAUAUACAUUUUACCUGCUUAUCAUACAUUGUGUUGGAAGUAUGCCCACAAAGCCACUCAUUUGAUGUAAUAGCUUUUGGAAUACUUAUUGUAUUAAACU